UACGUAGGGUGCGAGCGUUAAUCGGAAUUACUGGGCGUAAAGCGUGCGCAGGCGGUUCGUUGUGUCGGUGGUGAAAUCCCCGGGCUUAACCUGGGAAUGGCCAUGGAAACUGGCGAACGCGUGAGUGUGGCAGAGGGGGGUGGAAUUCCGCGUGUAGCAGUGAAAUGCGUAGAGAUGCGGAGGAACACCGAUGGCGAAGGCAGCCCCCUGGGCUAACACUGACGCUCAGGCACGAAAGCGUGGGGAGCAAACAGG
rnacentral:rRNA from 1 species